rnacentral:rRNA from 1 species
GAUGAACGCUGGCGGCGUGCCUAAUACAUGCAAGUCGAGCGAACAGACGAGGAGCUUGCUCCUUUGACGUUAGCGGCGGACGGGUGAGUAACACGUGGGUAACCUACCUAUAAGACUGGGAUAACUUCGGGAAACCGGAGCUAAUACCGGAUAAUAUUUCGAACCGCAUGGUUCGAUAGUGAAAGAUGGCUCUGCUAUCACUUAUAGAUGGACCUGCGCCGUAUUAGCUAGUUGGUAAGGUAACGGCUUACCAAGGCAACGAUACGUAGCCGACCUGAGAGGGUGAUCGGCCACACUGGAACUGAGACACGGUCCAGACUCCUACGAGAGGCAGCAGUAGGGAAUCUUCCGCAGUGGGCGAGAGCCUGGCGGAGCAACGCCGCGUGAGUGAUGAAGGUCUUCGGAUCGUAAAACUCUGUUAUUAGGGAAGAACAAACGUGUAAGUAACUGUGCACGUCUUGACGGUACCUAAUCAGAAAGCCACGGCUAACUACGUG